rnacentral:lncRNA from 1 species
GUCCUGAGGCUGCCAUGGUGGAGAAGCCACGUGCAAUGAUGGCAUGGAGAGGCCUUGAUGUUACCCAGAGGGAGAUGCCCAACAUGACCCCAGGCAUUUGACAUAUGUCAACAGCUUUUGGAGAGAUGGAGAGCAUCAGCAUGAAACAAGAGCCUUAGAUCAAAAUAGCAACGUUCUGGCAUUUAAGGUCCUCUGCAAUGUGAAUCCAUUAAUGUUGAGGCACAACUGACCAUACACAAUUAGAAGGAAAUAAACAAGAUAGCCUCUCAGUUCCUCUAUCACCAAGAGAAACAGCAACAACUCAACUGCUGAUUAGGAGCAAGGACGGCAGCUCAGAAGUCUGUUGACUGCUCUUCAGCUCCUGGACACAUAAAACCAUCGGGAUUCGUCUGAGAACUUCAGAAUUGCUGGAGAUGGCCCCCACAUCUAGAUGGUCUUUUUCCUGAAGACCUUUUAGAAAACCCAACAGAUGGAUGCAGGGCACCAAGGGGACUAAAGAAUGACCACUGUGAAGGACAGCAAGAAGGUCCCGUUUAAGAAGCAGAGCUGGUGUGCCGGGGGCUCAGCAACAAGCCAUGUCUGGACAAGAAGUUGACAACGAGAUUCAAGACAAAGAAGAGGAAGUCCCGGGACGGAAAAUAUUCAGGGUGGAAAUUCCUCUGCUUUACUGUCGUGAAAAUGAAAAGUGAGCCGUGGACUGGGAGAAAAAUAUGUGCAAAACAUAUCCAGUAAAAGACUUGUAUCUGGAUAUAGAAAAAAUUCUUAUAAUUCGAUAAGAAGAAGACAAAUGACCAAUUGAAAAGGAAGAUAUACAGAUGGCAUUUAGGUACAUGAAAGAUACUCACUAGUCAUCAGGGAAAGGAAAAUUUAAAACCACAAGGAGAUAUUACUACUACCCAGUAGCAUGGCUAAAAUUAAAAAGACUGACCUACAAAGUGUUGGCAAAAAUGUGGAGAAAUUGAAAUUGUCAUGCACUGCUGGUAGGAAUGUAAAAUGGUAAAAACACUUUGGAAAACAAGUCAGAAGUUUCAUACAUAGUUAAACAUACACCUUCCCAACCAUAUAACCUAGCCAUUCGACUCCUGGGUAGAGAGAUGUGAUCAUAUAACC